GUUUUUAGUUUUUAUUUAGUUUAAUGUACGUAAACACAAUUUUUUUUUCGGCUAGUCAACCUGAUACAAGCUUCAUCAUUAGUUAUUCUCGGUGGUGCAGAGUAAAUCUGUCAAAGGGUGACUAUCCUUUUUUUAAAAUAGUGAGUGGGUUGAUCUUGUAAAUCUAUAGGAGUUGUUGGGUUGGAUAAAUGAAGCUCAGUAGUUGGCUU